rnacentral:tRNA from 1 species
CGGCGAGUAGCGCAGCUUGGUAGCGCAACUGGUUUGGGACAGUGGGUCGGAGGUUCGAAUCCUCUCUCGCCGACCA